AUGCCUUCUUACUGUUUGCCCGUAACUGGUAUAUUCGUAUCGACUUUGUGCGCAUUUUGCUAUUAUGUGUUCUUUUAAUUAAAAUGAUUCUUUUUAAGGACUUUCUUUGCUUCGGCUUGGAAGAA
rnacentral:rRNA from 1 species